rnacentral:rRNA from 1 species
AUACGGAGGAUGCGAGCGUUAUCCGGAUUUAUUGGGUUUAAAGGGAGCGUAGGCGGGAGCUUAAGUCAGCGGUUAAAUGGUGCGGCUCAACCGUGCCCUGCCGUUGAAACUGGGUUUCUUGAGAGUGUAAGAGGCGGAUGGAAUUCAUGGUGUAGCGGGGAAAUGCUUAGAUAUCAUGAAGAACUCCGAUUGCGAAGGCAGUCCGCUGGGGCACGUCUGACGCUGAUGCUCGAAGGUGCGGGAAUCAAACAGGAUUAGAUACCCUGGUAGUCCGCACGGUGAACGAUGAUUACCCGCUGUCGGCGGUAGACAGUCGGCGGCCAAGCGAAAGCGAUAAGUAAUCCACCUGGGGAGUACGCCGGCAACGGUGAAACUCAAAUGAAUUGACGGGG